rnacentral:rRNA from 1 species
GUUGGUGUUGAUUGCGGUGAGGGUCCACCUGUUCCCAUCCCGAACACAGAAGUUAAGCUCACUUGCGCCGACGAUAGUUGCCGGGCGACUGGCCGUGAAAAUAGGUAACGCCAACA